AGCUUUGCACAGGGGCAAUAUCACAACCAAUGAGGUUUAUCUGAGGCAUGAUUAUUGUUGACUGAAAAGUUUUACUAGGUAGAAGGUGCUUAAACAUCAGUCUUUGCUGUAUCCUCACUUGAG
ensembl:snRNA U4 U4 spliceosomal RNA